GACGUAGGGGGCCAGCGUUGUUCGGAAUUACUGGGUGUAAAGGGUUCGUAGGCGGUGUGGCAAGUCGGGAGUGAAAUCUCUGGGCUCAACUCAGAGACUGCUUCCGAAACUGCUGUGCUGGAGUGUGGGAGAGGCGCGUGGAAUUGCAGGUGUAGCGGUGAAAUGCGUAGAUAUCUGGAGGAACACCGGUGGCGAAGGCGACAUCCUGGACCGGUAUUGACGCUGAGGCGCGAAAGCCAGGGGAGCAAACGGG
rnacentral:rRNA from 1 species